rnacentral:rRNA from 1 species
CAAUAGCGUAUACUAAAGUUGUUGCGGUUAAAAAGCUCGUAGUUGGAUCUCAGGCAUGGGCGCACGGUCCGCCUCGCGGCGGUCACUGUGUGUUUUGUUUCCCAUCCUACGCUUCCCGGUUAUCAGCCCAUGGUGCUCUUCACUGAGCGUUUUGGGUGGCCGGAACGUUUACUUUGAAGAAAUUAGAGUGUUCAAAGCAGGCACGUCGCCUGAAUAAUGGUGCAUGGAAUAAUGGAAUAGGACCUCGGUUCUAUUUUGCUGGUUUUCGGAACACGAGGUAAUGAUUAAGAGGGACAGACGGGGGCAUCCGUAUUGCGGUGUUAGAGGUGAAAUUCUUGGAUCAUCGCAAGACGAACAACUGCGAAAGCAUUUGCCAAGCAUGUUUUCAUUAG